rnacentral:rRNA from 1 species
GGACCAUCAUGUUGGUCGUGCCUCGGUACGUACUGGCAUUGUCGGUUUCUCCCUUCUGACGAACCAUGAUGUCAUUUAUUUGGUGUCGUGAGGAAUCAGGACUGUUACUUUGAAAAAAUUAGAGUGUUUAAAGCAGGCUCACGCUUGAAUACAUUAGCAUGGAAUAAUGAAAUAGGACGUUUGAUUCUAUUUUGUUGGUUUCUAGGAUUGACGUA